CAGAUUAUUCCAUAACUUGUAAGGCGUUAGCCUAAUAUGAUCCACUAUUGCUAGCGAUCCUCAGGAACAACCAGGGGUGCAACUUUCAGUGGGGAUGGGGACAUGUCAGUGUGCUUUGGGACCGUACAGACCCCUCCGAGCGGUUGGGUAAGAUGUUUUUGAAGUUGGAAGUGUUUAUUCAACUGGGUUUAGGACUCAGCUCAGACGAAGCUUCUAAGUGAAGGCUGGCUGGACCGGCACGGGAGAGUUGAGCAUAGUUCAGUGCGUACGUGUUGCGCUCUUCCACUGAGUUCUAAAAAGGAAGCAGAACAGAAACUGGCUACUCUUUAGUUGACUGAUGUAGGUGGCAAAGUAACUGCUGUUUUAACAGGAAGAAAAAACUAAUCAGUAACAAACACAGGAACGAGACAGAGGAAAGGUAAACUAACGAUGCGAAGGAAAUGAACUAUGAAGUCAGUGACAGUUGUAAAUGUACAGUAUGUAGAUAUAACUGACGACAUAAUGAAAACAUUCUAGAAAUCAGAAAUCACCUCAGUAUGUAGAUAUAACUGACGACAUAAUGAAAACAUUCUAGAAAUCAGAAAUCACCUCAGUAUUUUUGGUGCUAUACUGUCAUUUUCACAUGGCAACAGAAGCCUAUAGCUUGGGUCUCCAGAUUUCAUCCCUGAAAGGUUAUAAGGCCACUAUUUCAUAAACAGCCCUGGGGUAAAAGGUGAUGUGUUAAUAUGCUUCGGUUUGCUGCCAUAUGACUGGUUUCACUUUUUUUUUGUCAUUUAGCAGACGCUCUUAUCCAGAGUGACUUACAGUAGUGAAUGCAUAUUGUCAUUUAUAUUUACAAUCCCCUUGUCCAAACGGAUUACUCAUGUACCAAGCUCCUAUCAAUAGCUCGUAUCCAUCUGUAAAUUACAGAGCAGGAGAAUGUUAUUUCUUUCAUAAAGAAAGUAGAUGCUGGUGCACUGGGAACCCGACAGGUUGGUCCACCUGAUUCAUCGCUUGUAAAGGUGGUGGAACUUAAGUCAAGGUAGACACGCCUCCACCACGCCUUCAUUAAUACAGUGUAUCUGUAGACACGCCUCCACCACGCCUUCAUUAAUACAGUGUAUCUGUAGACACGCCUCCACCACGCCCCAUUAAUACAGUGUAUCUGUAGACACGCCUCCAUUAAUACAGUGUAUCUGUAGACACGCCUCCAUUAAUACAGUGUAUCUGUAG
rnacentral:lncRNA from 1 species